rnacentral:tRNA from 1 species
AGGGGCGUCGUCAAGUGGCCAAAGACAUCGGGCUUUGAUCCCGGCAAUCGAAGGUUCGAAUCCUUCCGCCCCCGCCA